AGUGAACGCUGGCGGUAGGCCUAACACAUGCAAGUCGAACGGCAGCACAGGAGAGCUUGCUCUCUGGGUGGCGAGUGGCGGACGGGUGAGGAAUACAUCGGAACCUACCUUUUCGUGGGGGAUAACGUAGGGAAACUUACGCUAAUACCGCAUACGACCUACGGGUGAAAGUGGGGGACCGCAAGGCCUCACGCGAUUAGAUGAGCCGAUGUCCGAUUAGCUAGUUGGCGGGGUAAUGGCCCACCAAGGCGACGAUCGGUAGCUGGUCUGAGAGGAUGAUCAGCCACACUGGAACGGAGACACGGUCCAGACUCCUACGGGAGGCAGCAGGGGGGAAUAUUGGACAAUGGGCGCAAGCCUGAUCCAGCCAUACCGCGUGGGUGAAGGAGGCCUUCGGGUUGUAAAGCCCUUUUGUUGGGAAAGAAAUCCUGUCGAUUAAUACUCGGUGGGGAUGACGGUACCCAAAGAAUAAGCACCGGCUAACUUCGUGCCAGCCGCCGCCGUAACAC
rnacentral:rRNA from 1 species